GACGUAGGGCGCGAGCGUUGUCCGGAUUUAUUGGGCGUAAAGAGCUCGUAGGCGGCUUGUCGCGUCGUCCGUGAAAACCUGCAGCUCAACUGCAGGCUUGCGGUCGAUACGGGCAGGCUAGAGUUCGGUAGGGGAGACUGGAAUUCCUGGUGUAGCGGUGAAAUGCGCAGAUAUCAGGAAGAACACCCGUGGCGAAGGCGGCUCUCUGGAACGCAACUGACGCUGAGACGCGAAAGCGUGGGGGAGCAAACAGGAUAGAAACCCCG
rnacentral:rRNA from 1 species